GACGAACCGUGCGAACGUUGUUCGGAAUCACUGGGCAUAAAGGGCGCGUAGGCGGCUUAUCAAGUCAGGGGUGAAAUCCGGCAGCUCAACUGUCGAAGUGCCUUUGAUACUGAUGAGCUCGAGGGAGGUAGGGGUGUGCGGAACUUCCGGUGGAGCGGUGAAAUGCGUUGAUAUCGGAAGGAACGCCGGUGGCGAAAGCGGCAUCCUGGACCACGACUGACGCUGAGUGAGCGAAAGCCAGGGGAGCAAACGGG
rnacentral:rRNA from 1 species